rnacentral:rRNA from 1 species
UACGAAGGGGCUAGCGUUGCUCGGAAUUACUGGGCGUAAAGCGCAUGUAGGCGGCAGCGCAAGUCGGGCGUGAAAUCCCACGGCUCAACCGUGGAAGUGCACUCGAAACUGCGCAGCUAGAGUCCUGGAGAGGAAGGUGGAAUGCUUGGUGUAGAGGUGAAAUUCGUAGAUAUCAAGCGGAACUCCGGUGGCGAAGGACGGC